GUUCUUCUUUAUUUCUCAUCUCCUUUGCCCAGCUCCCCACCCCAGAGCUUAACAAGUCAAUUUGUUAGACAAGCAUUCCUCCCCCAAUCUGUGAUGCCAUGUUACAGACACCGAGGCUCUAACCUAUACGGGGUGGAGAUGACAGGAACACAGUAAGAAGUGUGGCUUUCUUUGCUUCGACACUCAUCCAUCCAAUAUCCUGACCUAAAAAUAUUAUUUUCCAUGUGAUCUUGCAAUUUCGAGUUUUACCACAGAACUAAGUAGCUUUUACUAUAGCUAUGAAAAGGCACACUUCCUAGAGGAACAUUUAGAUCAGAUGUUUUGAUGUAAAAUACUUGUCUUUCGUAAGUAAAAUUAUAGUGCAUUUUAUUUUUCUUAGGAUAGUUAAUUCUGCCAUUAAAUAGAUUGUACUUACUUUGGUUCAAACGGCUGAAAAAAAAAGAGAAUUUAAAAUUUGCUAUUUUUCCUAUAAAGUCACGGAUAAUCCACUGACCCCGAGGAAGGGCAGAAGUGCUCUGUUUGGCUCUCCUGCUGCAGAGAGCUUUGCAGGGAUUAUUUCUCAUCGCUGAGUGACAGCUUGUUUCUGUCUCUCUCUGUUAGGAUAUUUUGCUCGUGUCCAUGGCAUCAGGCAGCUCAUAAAGGCAUUUCUACAGGAGACAGAAUGUCACUGCCAAAUUAUAAACCUGGGGGCUGGGAUGGAUACCGCCUUCUGGACAUUAAAGAUUCUUGUCCAUACCCACUACACUGAUUUCCUGACUCUCUCUAAUUGGUCUCAAGCUGCUUCCUGUUACAUCCUACGUCCAGAGUGCCUCCUGCUCCUCCCCACUCCAUCCCAGUGGACGCUUCCCCAGUUCUGGCUGCCUAUUACUUCUUGCCUAGGAUGAGGGUCUUCUCCCAAGGAAAUAUUUUGAAGUUGACUUUCCGGUGAUAGUCACGAGAAAGCUACAGAGCAUCAAAUUCAAGUCUCUCCUAUCAAAAACCAAUUUAGACUUACAUUCAGAGGAGACACUUCAAAUGGGAUUGUAGGAAACAUAUGUAUAUGUGCAUAUCUGCAGGAACUGUUUGCUCAAAGAAUUGGCCAUUAUGAAUUUUAGCUACUGCCCAACUGUUCUUCAAGACCUUUUUAUGAAUUCCUACUUUCACAAAGGCAAAUCCGCCCGCCGUACAAACUAUUGGGACUUCCUGGCUGAUUGUGGUGUGGAUGUUGUAAGUACCAAUUUGCUGUGUGCUUCCCCGCUCCUUCUCCUGUUCCUCUUUAUCCCCGCUCCUUGUUCUCUUCCCCUUUAUCAAUAAACUCUGAUUGCUUAAACA